GUAAAGUUAAUUUAAUCGCAAUUUUGUACUUUGUAAAGAAUGAAUAAAAUUCAAAGUCGAUUUUUUUUUCUAAUACAAAAUCUUCAUUUUCACUUAUUAUCCAUAUUCCCACCCAGGUAGGCCCUGCGCAAUGAGUUUCGCAUAGGCCCCGCAAUUGUUAGGACCGGCCCUGGCGAUAUACAUUUCUAUUACAUUUCUAUUAAGUUUCACAGAAAGUCAUUUAGAGCCGUUUUCGUGAUCCGUAUCCGUAUAAAACUCAACAAGAAUCGAUUCAAAAGUUGUGUAAAGAAGGAAUUUUUUAAAGUAUUUAUUUAAUGUUUGUCUUGUUUCUGUUUCUACUCAUUGCAAGCAGAUUUGGCAUGUACUGAGUCUCAGAACUAGUUCCAGUGUUAUGCAAAUAUCUCCAAGGUAAACACACUUUCAUAUAGUAUAUAAUGUCUGGUACCAGGAACUGACAAACAGAUAACAGUAUUUGUAGACAUUUUUAUUUGCUGGUAUAUCAUCAAAUAAGACAAACAACAGAGAUCAUUACUUUGUCAAGAGAAUGGCGACCAACACCAAAAGUUUUACUUUGUUUUUGGCGCUGUCACUGCUAAUAGGCCAGGAGAACGUCAUGGCGGCAAAUACUGGACGUGUCACUCUAUCUUUAGACUGCUUGAACCAAGCAUUCAGAUGUUUGACAACGCAAAAUUCACCCCAAGCAUAUUCCUAUUACAGUACCAAGCAAUAUUGUUUAGCCUUAACCUACAACGACUAUAUCUUUAGCACUAAGACUUGUUUGCUAGACCAGAGCACUGGCAACACAUGCACAGAAGACGAAUACAACUCUAUUAAAAGUCAAGUCUGUGGCGCAUGCUCUCUGAUAGCAGGAACAGCAACUCUGCUUGUAACUUUCAUUGUGUAUAUCUUCAACAAGUAGUUGACUUUUAAUAUAAUUUAUACAUCUCAUAAAAUAGAGACUGUGUGUUUGUGAUAUACUCAAAUAUUGUACACUGCUUUACAUUGUCUGUCUGUUUCUAUUAUGUACGUAGAUUAGUAGAUAGAUAGAAUCAUAAUAUACUUUUGCUAGGCUUGUACGAGUGCAUGUUAAUUGUUUGAUUAUGGCAUAAACCGCCUGAAUAUAAGGCUUGCCUUAAGUGGUAGUGAAUGGUGUUGUCUAGGGGGUUGAAGAGCUGGCGAGUCCAAACCCUAGUUCAGUCCAUUGACAACAUGAACACAGAAAACUCUAGCAGUGGAGCAAUAGCUUACUCUCCAAGAAGACUCAACUCAAUGGGAUAGUAAAUGAACAAUUUAUUGAACUAUUUCACAGAUGUACAGUCCUAUCCUUGUGGAUCAUCAGACAAAUCCAAAACUAAUUACACCUCACAAGAAACUACCUAUUUCCGAUAGAAAAACCUUUCUUACUCAAACAAAGUCAUAUCACACACAGCAACGUCCAAGGCCAACAACUAGCUCUCUUCAAGGAACAUCAUUCGUUACAGAAGGCCCAACAUUAACGAGCAACGUGUGAGCAAUUUUCUUAUCUUAUAUAUUACAGACGUUACUUCAAAAAAGUAGAGCAAUAUACCCUACGCAUUUCAUGUGUCAAUCUAGUCGUGCAUGUUUUUAGUUGACUUAAACGCUGCAAAGUCGUUGGUUUUCCUGGUUGAUUCAGGCAACUCCAGGGGCGGACUGGCUAUAUGGGCAAACGGGCUAAUGCCCGGUGAGCGGUAUCAAAUUGGCCGAUCUGGUGGCGACCAAAGAAAAAAAAAAUUGAAUGCAGACAACUUUUUUACAAAGUGACAGCAGCGAGACACAGAUGCCCGAACACGUUUUUUUUUUAAAUAAUUACUACACUUUUUUACUACACUAUACACUGUAGCCUACGUAUUAUCAUUUGCAAAACGUUAGAUUUUACUUUUUGCUAUGCAAGAGCGGCAUGAACUUCAAAACAGCUUUGAUGUUUUUGAGGUUGUGUUUGGCCUAAUCAUUUAGCUGGUCGGCAUGUACGUUGAUGGCACUCCCUUUUUUUUUGCUCCUUCCCUCCCCCGUCUUUUGAUGGUUCCAUUGUCAGUUUACGAAAAAGAGGGAUUAGAGAGCUCAAGUUAUAAAACAUUGAUAUAACGCAGAAAAAUAAGGGGGGUUAUUAGCUCUUUAACGGAUACAAUGGAUACCAGCACACAUAGAACUAGAAGGAAAUGAGAAGGUUGACGCACUCGGCAAGAGUCGGAAAACAAACUCACAAUUAAACAUUGCACUCUAUCCAGAAGAAAUGAAGAAACUAAUAGUAUAUAAAAUAAAUGAGAAAUGGAAAAGACCUCAUCCGAAUCACGGAAAAGAUGAUGCCUAUUAUUAGCUAUCCCGAUAAGAUCAACGUCUAAUCUUACGAAUCAGGACCGGACACAACAGAAUGAGACAACAUGUCCUUCAAAACUGUUUUCUUUACCAUGAGGCAUGUACAAGACACUGGCCCAAAAACACCCCAAUAGAAAGAAAACUAUAUGGAGAGGUCCCUGAUUUGGAAACUAUUUCGCAGUUCAUCUCAUAUAUUGGUCUAGUCAUCUGAACGUUUCAACAUAAAAAUGAGAACGAGGAAGAAGAAGCUCUAUACCAAUACUUAAUAGGAAUUAACUUUCACACACACAAAGCCGUGAAAUUGCAAACCACCCAGCUUAUUCACAACUCAAUAUGGGUAUAGAGAAUAGAGUUCUUCUUUCUGAGAUUUGAACAGAAAAGUAAGUCUUCUUUUUGUUUAUUUUUAAAAGCAAAUAUCUAAAAAAAAAUAGGCCUACUACACUUACAAAAAAUAUUAUUUAAUUUUCUAAAAAUCUAGAUUUCAAUCAUUUUUGAGUGUUAUAAUUAAUGGCAAACUUAUGUUUAUAGGUUGCCUGAGUCAGCCAGGAAAACCAAUGACUUAGCAUAUUUUAAGUCACAGAUCAACAUGCAUGACUAUAUUGAAACAUGAAAUGCGUAGGGCGUAAUUAUAUUAUUUUUGAAGAAACGUCUGUAAUCUAUAAGUAAUAGCAAAAAGUUUCAAACUCAUUAAGGCUGCUAUUGUGUUUUUUAUAGUUUUCAGACUACAUACUUGUAUAAAUAAAAUACAUUAUGUAAUCCUACGCAAGCAUAUAUUCAGUUUUCGAUGCGUUAUCAAACUUUAUAUAUUUUGAAGAGAACUAGUCUUACACCUAUAAUAUGACACAUGGGCGUAGCCGGGAGGGGAGGGUUUAAAUCAUUACUUGCCUCAGACCUCAUUGUCUGAAAUGGAAACUUUACUUAAUGCCCCAGUGCAGCCAACUUAAGCAAACUACAGUCACCGAAUUUCCUAAGUGUAGUCAAAAGGGGUAUUGUGGUUACUCUUCCCCUCUAAUUCAAAAACUAAAACAAAACUACAGUUACCAUUUUCUACGACUCCAUCAAUUAAGUGCAGUGAAUUGCAGAUUUGUUUUUUGAAUUUUUUAGCGAAAGAGUAGCAAGCUAAAUGCACUGUAGAUACCUCAGAAUAUGCAUUUUUUAAAGCUCAAAAUAAUAAUGCCUGGAUCCGGACCCAGCUGGGAGAGCUCACAGCUCACAGCACUCCCCCCCCCCCCCCCAGACUCCCUAGCUGUCCUUGGUGGUGAGUACUGUCUUUCCACUAAUUAAAAGAAGAACCUAUUCUAGGCUAAAAAAAAACGCCCGAAAGAAUCAAAAGGUCAGAAUGUAAUGAAGAUUAAUUACAUACAUAUACAUUGCAGAGUUGAGUAGAACUCCCCCACACACACACACACCGAAAAAAUCCUGACUACGCCCAUGAUGUGACAUGCCAUUCGUUUAUGGGCCGGUUUAUAUGGUAAUGCCCGGGCCGAUUUUGAUACCCAGUCCGCCCCUGGGCAACUCAUUCCCUUUUCUAAUGACACAAGGAAAGAAGUAGCACUUGCGCGAAUUUGUUUGAUGAAAUAAGAAAUGUACCACCA